rnacentral:rRNA from 1 species
AUUGAACGCUGGCGGCAGGCCUUACACAUGCAAGUCGAACGGUAACAGGUCUUCGGAUGCUGACGAGUGGCGAACGGGUGAGUAAUACAUCGGAACGUGCCUAGUAGUGGGGGAUAACUACUCGAAAGAGUGGCUAAUACCGCAUGAGAUCUACGGAUGAAAGCAGGGGAUCGCAAGACCUUGUGCUACUAGAGCGGCCGAUGGCAGAUUAGGUAGUUGGUGGGAUAAAAGCUUACCAAGCCGACGAUCUGUAGCUGGUCUGAGAGGACGAUCAGCCACACUGGGAAUGAGACACGGCCCAGACUCCUACGGGAGGCAGCAGUGGGGAAUUUUGGACAAUGGGCGCAAGCCUGAUCCAGCAAUGCCGCGUGCAGGAUGAAGGCCUUCGGGUUGUAAACUGCUUUUGUACGGAACGAAAAGCCCUGGGUUAAUACCCUGGGGUCAUGGCGGUACCGUAAGAAUAAGCACCGGCUAACUACGUGCCAGCAGCCGCGGUAAAAC